rnacentral:rRNA from 1 species
CCUACGGGGAGCAGCAGUGGGGAAUAUUGGGCAAUGGGCGCAAGCCUGACCCAGCAACGCCGCGUGAAGGAAGAAGGCUCUCGGGUUGUAAACUUCUUUUAUCAGGGACGAAGCAAUUGACGGUACCUGAUGAAUAAGCCACGGCUAACUACGUGCAAGCAGCCGCGGUAAUCCGUAGGUGGCAAGCGUUAUCCGGAUUUACUGGGUGUAAAGGGCGUGUAGGCGGGAAAGCAAGUCAGAUGUGAAAACCAUGGGCUCAACCUGUGGACUGCAUUUGAAACUGUUUUGCUUGAGUACUGGAGAGGCAGACGGAAUUCCUAGUGUAGCGGUGAAAUGCGUAGAGAUUAGGAGGAACACCAGUGGCGAAGGCGGUCUGCUGGACAGCAACUGACGCUGAGGCGCGAAAGCGUGGGGAGCAAACAGGAUUAGAUACCCUUGUAGUC